CCUCCUCCUGUCACGGGGCCUUCGCUCACAGCUCCCGCUCUAAACUUCCUGCACUUUGUCUGCUUAAAGCAGAGCCAGAGCACAGCUCUGGGGAUGGGGCCGGUGAGAGUGAUUUGUCUGAUUUCAAAGCUUUUGCUUGAAGGAUUUUGGUAUUUUUUACUUUUUUUUAGAGGUUGAUUUAAAUAGGCAUUUUGAAAAUACAGGUAAUAGCACUUCCUAAACGUGCAAUUUUCUCAAAAUGGUAGACCAUUUAUGUAUGAUACAAACCUAUAUCUGACAUGUUUUCCACAUAAUUUCCAAAUUUUCAUCAAUCUUUUUGUUUUGUUGGAGCUCAUACAUCUUAACAUGCCCACAUAAGUUAAUAGAUUUCUGUAUUAUUAUUAUUUACUAUUCAGUAGCAUGGCUAUUACCCUAAAGGAGAAGACACAAUGAAACAUCAACAGUUAUUUCAUCUCGUAAGAAUACCAAUGCAAUUUAAAACCUUAGGUCCUGCAUUAGGAACACAUCAAUACUUGGGAGAGCAGUUAACACAUUUUACCUUUAGGUAUGUUCUCACACCCUUCUGAAACCAAAGCUACUUAAGUACAGAAUCAAAAUAGGGAAGGGGAGGUUUUGUAAGAAUAAACUUCAAAAUAUAAUCAUAGAAUCAAGGGUGGAAAAGAUCUCCAAGAAUCCAACUAUUAACUCAGCACAACUGUGUUUACCACUAAGCCAUGUCCCCAAGUGCCACAUCCACAUGUUUUUGAACACUUCUAGGGAUGGUGAUCCCAUAACUUCCCUGGGAAGCUGGGGAGGUAGGCUUGCAGUGCUUGAUUAUCCUUUCAGUGAAAAAUACCCAAACUGCUUUCCUGCAGCUGCAACCUAAAGGAUAUUUCUGCCUUAGGAUUUGUUAUUUCACCAUCACCAAAAUGUUCUUUCUUUUUUUUUAUUGAAUAAUAAAAAAAAUGUGGUCUAUUGGGGGGGAGGGGGUAGAAUUUAAUGAGAUUCUGUUUUCAAAUGAAGUGAGAGGGUGGAUUUUAGAUGGGCAAAUAUAACUAUCCAAAGAGGCUAAGCAGAAAAGGAUUAAUAUCCCUAUACUUAAAGAAAUACAUACUCAAGAGUUCAAUACAAUAUUUUUCCACAGUACUGAAGCUCUAAUGGUACCAUUUUAAGCUCUAUCACUCCUGCAAUACCAGCUCAGGAGGCCUAGUAUAGACACAAUGAUGAUUUCAUUGUAAUGUCUAUAUCUUGAUAUAGCAUGACAGUAAUAUCUAUCACUAGGAUAUGAGAAAAGGGGGAAGUACACAAAAUCUGAUAAAUUCACCUCUCAAAUUUCAGAAAUUAUUACUGAAAGCAUUUCUUGCAAUAUUUAAGUGUUUUCCAGAAACGCUCAGCCUCUCAUACCAAGCCAGUCCUGUUCCUGUUCAAUCGUGUGCUCAGUCUGACAGGAUGAGAUACCAGAAUGAUUCCCACUACCUCCAGUAUGAAAUGCAACAUGCACAGUGUGGAAAGGUGGCUCUCAUGUUUAUGAAUGAGCACACCUUGGCAGAAUCAGGCUCACCUCCAGCACUUUAAUCUUUCUACACAUGUAAUUAGCACUAUCAGCCUAGUAUUUUCCUAAAUGAUGCCUCUGCAUUUUGAGGACCGCAAUUUUUAUUCUCAGCAUUCAUGCACGUGGAGGAGCUACAGCUAUUAGGAGCUGAUUUCAGAGGAUCUUUGUUGCAGCCAGCAAGAGCAACUCUUUCUGCAGCAAGGCAGAAUCUGCAGAUGUUCUUCAAGGAAAAUGAGAAUCAAGCCUUUUAACUGUGAGAAAUUAAUGGCUAUUCUCUGUUCUGCUUUAGGAACAAGCCUACUGGAAAGCUCAUCAGUGGAAGCUGCAGGUGCACAUCCCCCCUGAAGAUGUUAACCUAGAAGAAAAGCCAUGAUCCCCCUGAGAUAAAUACAAUGUGAUAAUUAUAGGAAGGCUUCUAAAUAGUAAAGGAGGAAAGUUCUGGUACAAUCUUCUAGUAGGAAAGCAGAAAUUUUACCAUAAAUUUUAGAUUAAGCUGUAUUGGUUCAUCAAAAUGCCGUGAUUCUCUUUGACAGCAGAGGACUGUUGCCCUAGAGAUCUCCUCCAGUCUCAAAUUCCCGUAUUCAUUGGAAAACAUCUACUGACAUCAUUGUAGAUGGGAGCUAAAUUUGUCCUGAAUUUGACUGGAAAUUUGUCUCUUCAGAUACUGAGGUCAGAUUUGGAAAUACAUCCUUAAUCUCUCCUGCUUCUUUAGUCAUUAAAUAGGUAUGCCAAUUGUGUACUACACUAGACAAAACCUUUGUAUGUACAUUUGCAAAAAAAAAAAACCAACAGUCAUAGGGACAAAAGAUUGCCAUCUCUCUUUACUGUGCGUAGACACUGUGCCAUUUGAACACAAAACAAAGUACAUAGCAGAGGAUGUUUGUGAAAAAAGAGGCAGUCAUUGACUGAAGAGAAAUCUCUGGCAGUCUAGUUCAGGUUCUCAGACAGCUCUAACGAAAUCAAGGGUAGAUAUCUUUAUCAUUAAGCAAUAAAGCUCCAAGGGAAAAGAAUAUACUUGUGAAUACCAUCUCUCUAACCAUCUCUGAUAAAUUAACUGUGUUAAUCCUUUUUCCCACUCCUUUUUUCCACCCAUCCUUUUUUUUUUUUUUUAGGUGACUACGCCCUUUCACCUGCUUCACCCUCACUCUUGCCAGCUUCAGUACUUGGAGCAAUUCAGAGAGCCCUGCCAGCAAACCUCACGCUCCACUUACUGCAGUGCUGCCCCACCUCCCAUCUGCUGCUCCUCAGCCUGUGUGAAGAGACUGGGAUUGGCAAGGAAGCAGGUGAAACACUCCGAGAGGGCAGACAGAGGGAAUCAGCAGGUUCCCAGCUGGUAGCAGGCGGAAUAGGACUUUUCUCCCACGAGACCUGAGCAACCCAUAGCUAGAUGGAGUUGCCCUGCAGUCACUAUUCAUUUUCCAGAGACAUCAAAGGUAUAGCAUGCUACAUUUUGCACUGCUUCUUCAAAAAAGAGUAAGAUGCUAUUGAAAAAUCUAGUAAAUUGACUGCAUUUUCAUGAUAAAAAUUAUAAUUGCUACUGAAGUGGUGUUUAAUAAUUUUAAACAAAGCUCUGAGGCAUUCUAAGAAAAGAAAUAUAGGACAAAGGAUUCUUCUGUAAUAUAAUGCAAACCCCUCACUCAAUAAUAUGUUAGUGAAAUUUAUGUAAUUAAUUAGUGGAAGUUAAGGAACAUUUAAAUAUGCUGUGCCUUUGGCUGUCAUAGGGAAAUAUUCUGGUCAAUGAAUGCAAUAAAAUUACUUAAGGAACAGUAAGGAUUUUUUUUCUUUAAAAAAGCAUGAAAAAUUAUCUAUUGAAAAAUUACAUCUAAAAAAUGAAGAAUAAGUACCUGGUAUGUGGUUGUUGUGUCUGAGGUCACUGUCAUUUAGAAGCUCACUGGUUCAUUGCAAUUAAAAAUGAAAAGCUUUUCAUUAAUACUCAUAUUUAGGGAGGUAAAUAGCUGCAUUGCUGGCUCGAAACCAAACCAGGCUUUACACAAGUGGUUCUUGAGAUCACAGCAGCAAAGUACAAUAUAUACUUAAUGUAUAUGUUGAUAGCAACCACACACAACAUUUCACAGAAAGUCACAUUUGCCUAAAUCUUCUAGGGCACUACAACCAAGGAGAAUUUUUUUCCUAUGAUCUUGAAUUACAAACAUAUAGAUAUUUUGCCAAAUUUUAUUUUCCAGUCAAAUUACUAGAAAACAACAGCAAAAAGUUACAAUAUAUGAAGGAAAACGAAAAAUGUCUGAGUCCCAUUGGAAAAGCCUAUCAAUCACAUCAGUUUGGGUAGGAAUUUCAGGUAGGACAAGUGUCCUAGCCUUUUGCUGGGGCAACUAACCAUUUCAGCUAAAAUCAUAAAACCUUCUGGAAUGUCAAGGUGCAUGAAGAAAAUUUAGAUAUGAAUCAUGUUUAUUUAACUUUUUUUAAAAGGUAGCAAUAACUCCUUUGCACUCUUUGGCAGCCUCUAGGGCUGCUUACAAGUUACACCUGUAACUCCCAUUAGGUUAAUGAGAUUAUACCUACUCAUUAACCUCUAGUGUAUUAAUGGCUAAUUAUGUGUCUUAUUAUUUAAAAGUUGAUGCCCCAUACAGGUUGUGUGGGGAUAGGAUGGCUGAAUAUAAGUGAAGGUUUAGGUGUGUGAAAUGAAAGGUAAAGCUGUAUCUACAAAGGGUUCUUAGAGGUUAAAUAUUUCAUAUUAGGAGGAUAUUUAUUACAUUGUAUAUAGAUUAAAUGAAUGUGAAGGUGGAAUAAAGACAAAGCACUGAUAUUGUAACUUGCAGCAGGCAUUUGCUUCAAAGAUGCUCUUGGUCUCAGGGUGAAUUUCUUUAGUGCUAGUUUCAGCCUCUCCUUAGAGCACUCAUAUGUACCCUAUAGCAUGCAAAAGCACGUGUCCAAAAAAAAAUCUAUUCCUGGCUUGUCUUCUGAGACAGUAUUAAAUUCAGGUUAUUUUGACUGAAUUUUGCAAAAUUUGUAGCUACAGUCCUUUCUCAGAAAAGAGGUGUUAAAAUGUGCUGAGUAACAUACAGCUAUUUUACCCAAUUAUGUUGUGUAGGGGUAAGAUAGGAAUAUAUUUUAAAUAUAUUUAUUUAUUUCAAGAAGCAAUACUAUUUACCCAUUUAAAUUACAUAUAACAAUGUUUUAAUGUGAAGUAUUUUGA